rnacentral:rRNA from 1 species
GAUGAACGCUGGCGGCGUGCCUAAUACAUGCAAGUCGAGCGAACGGACGAGAAGCUUGCUUCUCUGAUGUUAGCGGCGGACGGGUGAGUAACACGUGGAUAACCUACCUAUAAGACUGGGAUAACUUCGGGAAACCGGAGCUAAUACCGGAUAAUAUUUUGAACCGCAUGGUUCAAAAGUGAAAGACGGUCUUGCUGUCACUUAUAGAUGGAUCCGCGCUGCAUUAGCUAGUUGGUAAGGUAACGGCUUACCAAGGCAACGAUGCAUAGCCGACCUGAGAGGGUGAUCGGCCACACUGGAACUGAGACACGGUCCAGACUCCUACGGGAGGCAGCAGUAGGGAAUCUUCCGCAAUGGGCGAAAGCCUGACGGAGCAACGCCGCGUGAGUGAUGAAGGUAUUCGGAUCGUAAAACUCUGUUAUUAGAGAAGAACAUAUGUGUAAGUAACUGUGCACAUCUUGACGGUACCUAAUCAGAAAGCCACGGCUAACUACGUG